rnacentral:rRNA from 1 species
GUCAACGGCCAUACCACAUUGAACACACCAGUUCUCGUCUGAACACUGAAGUUAAGCAACGUCGGGCCCGGUUAGUACUUGGAUGGGUGGAACCCCGGGUGCUGUUGGUU